GAUAAAAAAAAAAAAACUUAAGAGAGUCAGAGAGAGAAAGAGACAGAGAGUCAGAGAGAGAGAGAGAGAGAGAGAGAGAGCUAGAAGUAGUAAAGAGAAAGCAAUGUACCCUAUUCCUUUAAAAGCCAGGGUAAAUGUAAAACCUAUAAUUGAAAGUCUUCUCCGUGACCCUAUAAAACUCCAAUACUGCCUGUAAAGAAGCCAGACGGGUCACACCAGUUAGUGCAAGACCUUAGAGCUAUUAAUCAAGUCCAAACUACCCACCCUGUUGUUAUGGUAAUAGAUUUAAAAGAUGCCUUCUGGGUUUGUCCGUUCACGGAAGACAGCCAGGACCUAUUUGCCUUUGAGUGAGAAGACCCUCACUCUGAUUGAAAAUAGCAAUACAGAUAGACAGUCUUACCUCAAGGGUUUACGAAGUCUUCAAAUUUAUUUAGUCAAAUAUUAGAACAAGUCAUUUAAUUAGCAAAGGUAAAUGGCAAAUUGAGCUUGAAUGGACUGAAAGUAUCAUAUCCUUGCCUCUGCCGGAGACCAAACAAGAACUUAGAAAACUUUAAGAUAAGUCAGAUACUGUCAUCUAUGGAUAGCCUCUUAUGCCCUAAAAACAAAACCCUUAUACAAAAAGCUCACGCAAGAUGGGCAAAACCCCCUCCUCAUUUGGCAAUUACCAGAAAUCCAACAGGUGGAAAGGUUAAAACAUCUAUUAGUAACUGCCCCUGUCCUAGAUUUACCCUCAAGUAGCUAUUCCAUCUUGUUGUCAGUGUAAACAAGGGCAUAUCCCAAAAGCACGGAGGCCACUGACAACCAGUAGCCUUCCUAUCAAAAAUCCUUAACCCAGUAACCCGGGGAUGGCCCAAAUGCAUUCAAUCUGUAGCAGCAACUGCUUUGCUAACUGAAGAAAGUACAAAAAUAACUUUUAGAGGAAACCUCAUUGUGAGCACACCUCACCAGGUCAGAACUAUCCUAAGUCAAAAAAGCAAAAAGGCAGCUUACUGACUUAAGAAUAUUAACAUAUGAGGCCAUUCUGUUAGAAAAAUAUGAUUUAACAUUAACCACUGAUAAUUCCCUUAACCCUGCAGGUUUCCUAACAGGGGAUCUAAAUCUUAAUUAACUACCAUACAAAGGUCCGACCAGACCUAGGAGGAACUCCCUUCAGGACAGGAUGAUGGAUGGUUUCUCCUGGCUGAUUGAGGGAAAAAGACACAACGAGUAUUC
rnacentral:lncRNA from 10 species